AGUGAACGCUGGCGGUAGGCCUAACACAUGCAAGUCGAACGGCAGCACAGUAAGAGCUUGCUCUUACGGGUGGCGAGUGGCGGACGGGUGAGGAAUACAUCGGAAUCUACUUUUUCGUGGGGGAUAACGUAGGGAAACUUACGCUAAUACCGCAUACGACCUACGGGUGAAAGCAGGGGAUCUUCGCACCUUGCGCGAUUGAAUGAGCCGCUGUCGGAUUAGCUAGUUGGCGGGGUAAAGGCCCACCAAGGCGACGAUCCGUAGCUGGUCUGAGAGGAUGAUCAGCCACACUGGAACUGAGACACGGUCCAGACUCCUACGGGAGGCACCAGUGGGGAAUAUUGGACAAUGGGCGCAAGCCUGAUCCAGCCAUACCGCGUGGGUGAAGAAGGCCUUCGGGUUGUAAAGCCCUUUUGUUGGGAAAGAAAAGCAGCAGGUUAAUACCCCGCUGUUCUGACGGUACCCAAAGAAUAAGCACCGGCUAACUUCGUG
rnacentral:rRNA from 1 species